rnacentral:rRNA from 1 species
ACGAAGCGACGCCGCGUGUGGGGAGAAGGCCUUCGGGUUGUAAACCACUGUCGGGAGUUAGGAAAUGCAGGUGCGUUAAUAGCGCACUUGCUUGACUAAGGCUCCAGAGGAAGCCACGGCUAACUCUGUGCCAGCAGCCGCGGUAAUACAGAGGCGGCAAGCGUUGUUCGGAAUUAUUGGGCGUAAAGAGCACGUAGGCGGCCUUGCAAGUCAGUUGUGAAAGCCUUCCGCUUAACGGAAGAACGGCAUCUGAUACUACAGGGCUUGAGUACGGGAGGGGAGAGUGGAACUUCUGGUGGAGCGGUGAAAUGCGUAGAUAUCAGAAGGAACGCCGGCGGCGAAAGCGACUCUCUGGUCCGAAACUGACGCUGAGUGUGCGAAAGCUAGGGGAGCAAACGGGAUUAGAUACCCCGGUAGUCCUAGCCGUAAACGAUGGGCACUAAGUAGAGGGAAUU